rnacentral:rRNA from 1 species
UACGUAGGGGGCAAGCGUUGUCCGGAAUCAUUGGGCGUAAAGCGCGUGUAGGCGGUCCGGUAAGUCCGCUGUGAAAGUCGGGGGCUCAACCCUCGAAUGCCGGUGGAUACUGUCGGGCUAGAGUGCGGAAGAGGCGAGUGGAAUUCCUGGUGUAGCGGUGAAAUGCGCAGAUAUCAGGAGGAACACCUAUGGCGAAGGCAGCUCUCUGGGACGUUACUGACGCUGAGACGCGAAAGCGUGGGGAGCAAACAGG